GUGCGCACGGCCGAGGCGCGCCCCUGACGGCCGUUGAAAAAUGGCGACUGUCACCGAGCUGAAGGCUGUUUUAAAGGACACCUUGGAAAAAAGGGGAGUUUUAGGGCAUUUAAAAGCAAGGAUUCGAGCUGAAGUUUUCAAUGCCCUAGAUGAUGAAAGAGAACCCCGACCGUCAUUGUCUCAUGAAAACCUUCUAAUUAAUGAAUUAAUUCGGGAAUACUUGGAAUUCAACAAAUACAAAUAUACAGCAUCUGUUCUCAUAGCAGAAUCUGGCCAACCUCUAGUUCCAUUAGACAGACAGUUUCUCAUCCGUGAACUAAAUGCAUUUGAAGAAUCAAAGGAUAAUACAAUACCUCUUUUAUAUGGGAUUUUAGCUCAUUUCUUGCAUGGCACUAAGGAUGACUUCCCAGCUGCAUCUCUGACAAGGUCUUCUCUUCAGCUGCCAAACCCAAACCUUGCCAGACACCUACACCCAAGUGGGAGAAAGCAAACAGAGACCACCUAAAGAUGAAGGGGAAGGUGUGACCAUUGAAGAUCCUCACGUGUCUCAAGCAGUGAAGAGAUGACGUUCCCAGUGGGGCAUCUUUUAUUUUAAACUUCAUAUGUAUUAAAUUAUUUAUUCUCCUGAUGUGACCAAAAUGCAUUACCAAUAUUUGAACUUUGUAGUAACUUGAGUUUCUGAAGAACAUUGAGCCCCUCAUGGCUUAACUGCAUUUGUGAAUAAAAGCUCCAUCUGUCAUUGGAUUUAACUUGGAAAAAAAAAAAAAAAGUAGAUUUUAGGAAGCAUUUUAAAGGCCCCUUAAAUUUGUGAGAAAUGAAAGAGAUUUUGGUACCCUGAACAUUCUUCUAAGAAAAUUCAGGUCUCCAUAGCCAUAUCCUCUGGUCUUCUACAUGACACCUUAAUUAAAUGACUUUUAAGCUGAAAUUUUGUGGAUUUGUGGGAAAAGUCAUCCAAGUUAAAAAAAAUUUUUUUUGAAAGAAUACGAUGGCCAGAAAAACUUAAUUCCUAUAAAGUUUGAUCUUUAUUUUUUGGCUUGGCUAUUUUUCGGAGAACUAUUUAUAAUUAGGUUUAAAUCUCUGAAUUACUAUUCAAGUUGAACUUUUAGCUAGGUAACAAUGUACUUUUUCUUUUCUUAGAUCAUUUUGGCUUCUACUGAGAGAUUUAAUUAAAUGGUAGAGGGGGAAAUCAUUCCUUUGACUUUGCUAGAGGUAUACACCAGAACCAGAAGAAGGAUUGGAGAUGACCCUCCAGGCCUUCUUUCGGGAUCUCCAGCAACCUGGUGUUGGUGUAGUCAGGUGAGGUAGAACUUUUCCUGGUUAUGCACUUCUAGCAACCAUAUCACCUGCACAGAGUGACCAUGUGGGGGCUGGUCGGGCCAUAUGUGGUUAGAAAAAACAUGCUUUUUUCCAUUAGAUUUACAUUUUUAUAUCUGGAAAAGAGAACCACCUAAUCACAAAGACUGCUAUGGUUAUCUACAAAGGAAGAUCUUGGGUUGAGAAAAUCUGCUCUAGAAUUUUCUGUACUCAGGAGUUUUGAACAGUGUCAGGUUAUCAUCCAGUAGUUGAAAAAGGAACAUGGGCUGAGACAUUUAAACAACUCAAGGAAAGAAAAGACGUAAAAAUACAGAGGAACCCCUUAAAUUAUGCUCAUGAACAGGAAGUAAAUUAGACCAUCAUUACUGGUGGAUUUCAUGGGGUCACUGGGAGAAGUAACUUUCCAGAAAGGAAAAGUUUUAGGAGAAAACUUGGAUUUACACAGAAAUAGAAUGGAAAUUAAAACUAGGGAGGGAUUUAGAAAAGGUGGAAACUUAAAACUUGGACAAUCUCGAAACCCCUUGCAGGAACAGAAGUGGCUUUUGAAGAUGAUGCUUUUAAUCUUAGCAUGUGUUUGCAUAGAAUAAACUAAUAGCUUUAUAAUUAUGUGCAAGAACACAUUUGUAUAUGACUCACAUGCCUACAUGAUUAUGUAAAAUUUGAUGUGUUCUUUUAACCUAAAGCCAAGUGUACAUAAAGGAUUAACAUUUGUGAGAAUCUGCCUUUAAAGGCAUUUAGGACAAUGCGUUCCCAGCCACUGGGUAUUUGACUUUCUAACAACCAUAUUGUAAGGAUUAUGUGGUCUUUAUCUUUUUUUAAAUUAAGGUGAGGUAAAAACGGUUUUUGGAGCAGUUUUACAUUCACAGAGAAAUGGAAUGUAAGAUUCAGUGAGUUUCCAGUAACUACUGCCCCUUUCCCAAGCUCCCUGUGAUGGCAUCCCCCAGCAGAGUGCUACCUUUUUUACAGUUAAUGAACUUACACUGACAUGUCAUCAUCAUUUGGGGUCCAUAGUUGGCGUUAAGGUUCACUCUUUGUCAUGUACAUUCUCUGGAUUUGGACAUUUAAGGACAUAUAUCCACCAUUGAAUCAUAAAGUUUAAUUUUAUAGCCCUAAAUAUCUUCCAUGCUCUGCCUUUUCAUCUCUCCCCACUCGUCUCAGACAACCAGAUCCUCUUACUAUCUCCAUAAUUUUGCCUUUUCCAGAAUCUCAUAGUUAGAAUCAUACUGAUUGUGCCUACGUAGAACAUUGGCUCCUUCCACUUAGUAAUAUGCAUUUAAGGACCCUCCAUGUCUUUUCAUAGCUAAAUAACUCAUUUCUCUUUAGUGCUAGGUAAUAUUCCAUCAUCUGAAUGUACCACAUUUGAUUUAUCUAUUCACUUACUGAGGCAAUAUUGGUUGCUUCCAAGUUUUGGCACUUAUAAAUAAAGCAGCCAUACAGAUCUGUGUGUGAAGUUAGAAUGGAUGUAAGUUCUCUGCUUAUUUGGGUAAAUCCCAAGAAGCCUGAUUUGCUGGAUUAUGUGGUAAGACUGUUCAGUUUUGUAAGAAACAAACUACUUUUAUUGAGAAUUUUAGAGCAGGUUCUGAUAGAAGUGAGAAGAAUAUGGAGUUACGGAAAUGGUGAUGAGGAUAGAGCUCUUGCAGGUUACUACACAAUGCAGGCUGCACUUGGAGAAGCCGGGGGGACGUCCUGAGUGAAACAAGUGCUUUUGUGGAAGAGAAUGGCUAGCGCCGCGACUGAGGUCAGAAACAGCACACCUUUCUUCACAGGGAGAGAACCCUGUGCUGAUCUGGGGCUAGGUGUGACGUGAGUGCAUGCACGUUUCAAUAAUGAAAUUAGGAAGCACAUGUGUAGACCCAAUCUUCAAUGUUAAAAACUGAAUAUUAAAAACUGAUA